rnacentral:rRNA from 1 species
CCAGCUCCAAUAGCGUAUAUUAAAGUUGUUGCAGUUAAAAAGCUCGUAGUUGGACUUUAGGCGGAGACGGUGUGGAGCCGAUUCGUCGGCCUCUGCAUGGUCCUGCCUCACCCGCGGGGACCGGUCGGGCUCGCUCGGCCGUGAUCCGCAACUUACUUUGAGGAAAUUAGAGUGUUCAAAGCAGGCUAACGCUUGAAUACUUCAGCAUGGAAUAACAAGAUAGGACUUUGGUUCUAUUUUGUUGGUUUGAGGACCAAAGUAAUGAUUAAUAGGGACAGUUGGGGGCAUUAGUAUUCAGUAGUCAGAGGUGAAAUUCUUGGAUUUACUGAAGACUAACUAAUGCGAAAGCAUUUGCCAAGGAUGUUUUCA